CUCCUCUCAAGGUCACAUCUGGAGAGUUUCCAGUACUCUACCAGUCUCGACUACGAGAGGGAGAGUCAAGCAGAGGCCUACCCAAUCCAUUCCUUGCUUGGCCAGUGGCUACCGAGUGGAAGGCAAUCUGCUACAAGU
rnacentral:snoRNA from 1 species